CCUACGGGCGGCAGCAGUGAGGAAUAUUGGUCAAUGGUCGGGAGCCUGAACCAGCCAAGCCGCGUGAGGGAUGAAGGUACAGAGUAUCGUAAACCUCUUUUGUCAGGGAACAAAGUCGGGGACGUGUCCCCGGAUGAGUGUACCUGAAGAAAAAGCAUCGGCUAACUCCGUGCCAGCAGCCGCGGUAAUACGGAGGAUGCGAGCGUUAUCCGGAUUUAUUGGGUUUAAAGGGUGCGCAGGCGGUCUGUUAAGUCAGCGGUCAAAGCCCGGGGCUCAACCCCGGCCCGCCGUUGAAACUGGCAGUCUCGAGUUGGAGAGAAGUAUGCGGAAUGCGCGGUGUAGCGGUGAAAUGCAUAGAUAUCGCGCAGAACUCCGAUUGCGAAGGCAGCAUGCCGGCUCCACACUGACGCUGAGGCACGAAAGCGUGGGUAUCGAACAGGAUUAGAUACCCGGGUAGUC
rnacentral:rRNA from 1 species